AGACGGGGGGGGCGAGCGUUGUUCGGAUUUACUGGGCGUAAAGCGCGCGUAGGCGGGCUGGUUAGUUGGGGGUGAAAUCCCAGGGCUUAACCCUGGAACUGCCCUCAAUACUGCCAGUCUUGAGUUCGAGAGAGGUAAGUGGAAUUCCUAGUGUAGAGGUGAAAUUCGUAGAUAUUAGGAAGAACACCAGUGGCGAAGGCGGCUUACUGGCUCGAUACUGACGCUGAGGCGCGAAAGCGUGGGGAGCAAACAGGAUUAGAAACCCGAGUAGUCC
rnacentral:rRNA from 1 species